GCCUGCAAACAAUAAGACAUUGUGCAAAGGGCAGGGUGUGACUUCCCCCACACAAGACACUAGCUCCAGCUUGCUCUCUCUGGGACACUUUGUAGGACACUCUGUGGCAAGACCGAUGAUAGGGACUUGAGGGCCCCUGCUGUUGACCAGGGUUAAUACACCAGUCACACUUGCCAACUUGGAAGCAGAGCCUCCAGCCCUCUUCAAGCCUUCUAUGACAUCCUGACUGCAGUCUCAUGGGAGACCCCCAAACCAGAACCACCUAUCCAGCUGCCGCUGAACUCCUGACCCACGGAAACUGGCUCUGGGAUGGCAGCUCCCUCAGCACCUAGAUCUGUGCCUACUUGGCCCUCCGCAGGGACUCAGGAACCUGAGGGUGAGCUUUGCUGGUCUCGGAAAAUGACUCCAAAUGUGCAAUUUGUUCCCAGGAACGGGGGUGUGUGAGUGAAAUGGCUCCUGGUCACAGCGAGCAAACUCCAGAAUCUUCUUGGCCUCAUCCACACAUAUGACAUUGGAAGCCUUUAGGAGCUCAAGACUUUAGGAGCCUUCCUCUCAGGGGGUGCGGAGCCUCAAGUGCGACCACUUCAGAGCACCCACUCUUGGAGGCUCCUCUGAGUGCAUCCACAAGUUGGCUGUGUCCAUGUGACGGUGUGAAUCGCCUCACCGACUCUUAACCUCCCUCAUCAAAUGCCUCCCUCGACAGACCUCUGGACCCAGCUUUGCAGUGUUACUGUUGAGAGCAGGGUGAAGAGCUUAGCUCUCCCUCACCAGCUGGGUGACCCUGGACUUGUCUCCUAACUUCUCUGGGCUGUGGGUCAUCCCU
ensembl:lncRNA